UACGAAGGGGGCUAGCGUUGUUCGGAAUUACUGGGCGUAAAGCGCACGCAGGCGGUUCGACCAGUCAGAAGUGAAAGCCCCGGGCUCAACCUGGGAAUUUGCUUUUGAUACUGUCGAGCUUGAAUCACGGAGAGGGUAGUGGAAUUCCGAGUGUAGAGGUGAAAUUCGUAGAUAUUUCGGAAGAACACCAGUGGCGAAGGCGACUAACUGGACAUGUAUUGACGCUGAGGUGCGAAAAGCGUGGGGAGCAAACAGG
rnacentral:rRNA from 1 species